rnacentral:rRNA from 1 species
CUUAGUAGCGGCGAGUGAGCGGCAAAAGCUCAAAUUUGAAAUCUGGCUCUUUCAGAGUCCGAGUUGUAAUUUGAAGAAGGUAUCUUUGGGUCUGGCUCUUGUCUAUGUUUCUUGGAACAGAACGUCACAGAGGGUGAGAAUCCCGUGCGAUGAGAUGAUCCAGGCCUAUGUAAAGUUCCUUCGAAGAGUCGAGUUGUUUGGGAAUGCAGCUCUAAGUGGGUGGUAAAUUCCAUCUAAAGCUAAAUAUUGGCGAGAGACCGAUAGCGAACAAGUACAGUGAUGGAAAGAUGAAAAGAACUUUGAAAAGAGAGUGAAAAAGUACGUGAAAUUGUUGAAAGGGAAGGGCUUGAGAUCAGACUUGGUAUUUUGUAUGUUACUUCUUCGGGGGUGGCCUCUACAGUUUAUCGGGCCAGCAUCAGUUUGGGCGGUAGGAGAAUUGCGUUGGAAUGUGGCACGGCUUCGGUUGUGUGUUAUAGCCUUCGUCGAUACUGCCAGCCUAGACUGAGGACUGCGGUUUAUACCUAGGAUGUUGGCAUAAUGAUCU